AGAAAAAUAAAGAUAGGUUAAUUUGGCUAUUUUCUCGUCUUUAUCAGAUCGCUUUUAACCCUGAAAUCGAGGAGAGAAGGGAACAAUUAACCGGUGAAUGAAGAAAAAUGAAGAUAGGUUAAUUUGUCUAUCUUCUCGUCUAUAUCAGAUCGCUCUUAACCCUGAAAUCGAGGAGAGAAGGGAACAAUUAACCGGUGAAUGAAGAAAAAUAAAGAUAGGUUAAUUUGUCUAUCUUCUCGUCCUUAUCAGAUCGCUCUUAACCCUGAAAUCGAGGAGAGAAGGAAACAAUUAACCGGUGAAUGAAGAAAAAUGAGGAUAGGUUAAUUUGGCUAUUUUCUCGUCUUUAUCAGAUCGCUCUUAACCCUGAAAUCGAGGAAAGAAGGGAAUAAUUAACCGGUGAAUGAAGAAAAAUAAAGAUAGGUUAAUUUGGCUAUUUUCUCGUCUUUAUCAGAUCGCUUUUAACCCUGAAAUCGAGGAGAGAAGGGAACAAUUAACCGGUGAAUGAAGAAAAAUGAAGAUAGGUUAAUUUGUUCAUCUUCUCGUCUUUAUCAGAUCGCUCUUAACCCUGAAAUCGAGGAAAGAAGGGAAUAAUUAACCGGAAAAUGAAGAAAAAUGAAGAUAGGUUAAUUUGUUCAUCUUCUCGUCUAUAUCAGAUCGCUCUUAACCCUGAAAUCGAGGAGAGAAGGGAACAAUUAACCGGUGAAUGAAGAAAAAUGAAGAUAGGUUAAUUUGUCUAUCUUCUCGUCUAUAUCAGAUCGCUCUUAACCCUGAAAUCGAGGAGAGAAGGGAACAAUUAACCGAUGAAUAAAGAGAAAUGGAAAAGACUGGUUAAUUUGUCUAUCUUUUCGUCUUAAUGGGGUCGAGCUCCAGGAAGGAAGGAAAAUGGCAACCGAGGAGAAAUGGGGAAAAUAGGUUAAUGUGUUUACCUUCUCGUUUUAAUCGCGUCACCGCUGUAAAUGGAUUCAGGGUAAAGAAGAUCAUUCCUAAGCUGCUAAAUGAGAGACAGUCGAGAAAAUAGGUCAAGUUCAUUCCUUGUCUUGAUCGUGUCGCGCUUAACUUGAUUUCGAGGAUAAGAACGAACUGAUUAACUGAAAGAUGAUGGCUAAUUGGGGCGCGUGUCCAUCGUGUCCAUCCAAAGCCCAUUAGUAUUGAGAGUAAGAAACUGAAUGAAAAAAUAAUAGAAAAAAUAAAAAGGAAGGUUCAUCCAUUGAGAGGGAAUAGAGGAAUAGGCAUAGAAGGGAAUAGAUAAGAAAAAUGGAUGAAUAAGAUAAUGAAUGAAAGCAAAAAAGGUGAAAAGAAUGAAAAUGAAAAAUGAAAACGGAAUAUAGGACGAAAUGGGGAAAGAAGAAAUGAGGAAACAAGAAAUAGGAUAAAAAGACAAAAUGGGUAAAGAUGAAAAAAAUGAGAAAAUAAGAAAAUAUGGAUAACAGGACAAAAUAGGCAAGGAAGAAAUGAGGAAAUAAGAAAGUAGAUGAAAAGAGAAAAUUAGCAAAAAAAAAGAAUGGAUAAACUAAAACAGUGGAUGGAUAACAAAAACAAAAGAAACACACAAAAUAAGUAAGGAAAGAAUAGGGAUAAGAAUGGAUAACUAACAAGAGGAGAAAAGAACGAAAGGAAAAAGAAGAAAUAGAAGGAUUAACUAAAACAACGAAUGGAUAACGAAAACAAAAGAAAAACGCACACAAAAAAACACAAAAAAGUAAAGAAAGAAUAGGGAUAAGAAUGGAUAACUAACAAGAGGAGAAAAGAACAAAAUGA